rnacentral:rRNA from 1 species
GACGAACGCUGGCGGCGUGCCUAACACAUGCAAGUCGAGCGGGGGGAGUACUUCGGUACAAACCUAGCGGCGGACGGGUGAGUAACACGUGGGUAACCUGCCUCAAAGUGGGGGAUAGCCUUCCAAAAGGAAGAUUAAUACCGCAUAACCCAUAGCUUCCGCAUGGAAGCAAUGGUAAAGAUUUAUCGCUUUGAGAUGGACCCGCGGCGCAUUAGCUAGUUGGUGAGGUAACGGCUCACCAAGGCCACGAUGCGUAGCCGACCUGAGAGGGUGAUCGGCCACAUUGGAACUGAGACACGGUCCAGACUCCUACGGGAGGCAGCAGUGGGGAAUAUUGCACAAUGGGCGAAAGCCUGAUGCAGCAACGCCGCGUGAGUGAUGAAGGCCUUCGGGUUGUAAAGCUCUGUCUUUUGGGACGAUAAUGACGGUACCAAAGGAGGAAGCCACGGCUAACUACGUGCCAGCCGCCGCUGUAACAC